AUCUACCGGCGGGGCCGCCGGCAAUCGGCCGCGAAGGCGCCUUACGGCCAUCGACAGACGAUGAAUCAGUAGAUUGCGACGACUUCGACGCCAUUGCAAGCAAUGUAGAUUUAGAUUGGUCGUGUAUUCGCCGAUGGGAUUCGAAGUGGACGAUGGUGGUUACAAAUAGAAAUGCGGCUGAUAGGGCAAUGACCGCCGUAAGGUGGUUUAGAGGCCUUAAAGGAUUAGAAUAGGAUAAUGGGGAGCAACAGGAGUUUGAAAGUUAGUGGGAUGCUAGUAUAGGACAAUCAUUUUACGAAACAGCGUAAGAGUCCAUACAAAACCUGACACAUUAGCACAACAAACACCCAACAGCGAGAAUGUGAAAGUUAGUGGCAUUAAAUGUAGCGACAGAUUCGUACAUUAACGUGAUCGUUAUACUCGAGUAACUAGUGAAUAGGCACUGGCCGGUA
rnacentral:lncRNA from 1 species